rnacentral:lncRNA from 1 species
UCGCCGCCAUUUUAUUGUCCAGGCCGCAGCAGCAGCAGGUUGUCGCGCUCUUCAAGGCACCGAUCAAUGUUACAUUUGUGCCACUCUGCGAACCCGCGCUCGACAUACUGCCAAAAGAGCCGGGCGUCCUCCGAGGUCGAAUCGGCGGGCACGACAAACCCCCUACCCAAUGUGGUGUAAUUGUGAGCGCGGCGCCACGCGCACUGGAGGACCCUCUUUGCAAAACCAGCGUCGGGACACCGCGGCGAGCACACAAACUCGCCCUCGCCCGUCAGUGAGCCGUCGACGUAGCGCAGUCUUUGGAUGUCGCCGUUGGCAAAGACCGUGCUUACGAUGCCGUGUUCGUUUUCGGCCUUGAGCGGUUUGACGACAUAGGUGCCAUUCAAGCCUGCCGAGAUCAGUACAUCGGUGGCACCCGCCCAGUCGGCGACACCAUCGACGGCAUAGGAUCCUCUGGCGCGCCAGGUGCGCUUGCCAUUAUAGUGCUGUUCGACAAAGGCAAAUCGGCUCGUGCGGUAGUGCACGCACGAAAAAGUGCGGCACACGCUCCAAGGCUUGGCGCUAGCCUUGAAGCGCUCUGCCCACGCCGUCACUGUGCCAGACUCGCCCAAGUAGACGGCCACGCCAUAACCAGACCUCUUGCCGUUGACCCAGUCGCCGACAAGGAUCUUUUCCCUGAUGCCACAAACCCAGGCUUGGUGCUGACUCAACCGUCGAUAUAUGCCGCCGCCGCCGCGGCGCGUGAACCCCGGUCCGCUCGACCGACCGUGCACCUUUCGGGCGUGGGCGACAUAGAGCCACAGCCAGUCCUUGCCCACGGCAAAGGCGCGGGCCAGCGGCGCUGGAAGGCCGACAGUGGAUUCACACGGUGGGGGCAACAAUGUGGCCGCGCCGGUGCGCUCGUACAAGAAGCGCGCCUCGGGCGGCCAGGUCUCGGUCUCGUGAUAUCUGGCGUGCUGCGAUGUGUCGACCGUGUUCUUGGCAUACAUGGGCGCAAAGUGGCGCAUAAACAGCCCCCGCCACAGGCGUUGGUCGUGCGCGAUCCGACGAAAGCCCCGGCAGACGCCGCCCACGGCCAGCAGUUGGCGCGCGCCCAUGAACGAGGCCAUGUGGUAGAGGAUUUCGUCGGGCAGGCGGUCGCCUGUCGCCGCCAUGUUCUUGUUGCAGAGGUGGUUCUUUUUAUCCUUUUUUCUUUUUAUUUGUGGCAAAGUACCGAUGGAUUGCGUGUGCCUCGUGAUUGGUGCGGGCGCUCAUGGGGACGUAAAAAAAGCCAAGGACGCAC